UCUCCGUAGGUGAACCUGCGGAGGGAUCAUUAAUAGAGAUGGCGGGCCCCCGCGCCCCCGUCCCCAACCCUUUGUCGACCAAACCACUUUUGCCUCGGGGGCAGAGCGGCCUCCGUCGCCCCCGGUGGACCAACCAACCCUGUCUCUGUACGUCGGAGUCUUCGAUAAAUGAAUGAAAACUUUUAACAACGGAUCUCUUGGUUCUGGCAUCGAUGAAGAACGCAGC
rnacentral:misc_RNA from 1 species